GACGAACGCUGGCGGCGUGCCUAAUACAUGCAAGUAGGACGCAGUUGCGAACGGGUGAGUAACGCGUAGGUAACUACCUAUUAGAGGGGGCUAACUACUGGAAACGAUAGCUAAUACCGCAUACUAGUAGAUGGACCUGCGUUGUAUUAGCUAGUAGGUAGGGUAAUGGCCUUACUAGGCAAAGAUACAUAGCCGACCUGGGGGGGAGAUCGGCCAAACGUGGACGGAGGAACGGCCCCGACUCCUACGGGGGGCAAGAGGAGGGGAUCUUCGGGAAUGGGGGGAACCCUGACCGAGCAACGGCGCGGGAGUGAAGGAAGGUUUCGGGUCGUAAAGCUCUGUUGUUAAGGGAGCGGUACUUAACCAGAAAGGAACGGCUAACUACGUGCCAGCAGCCGCGGUAAUAC
rnacentral:rRNA from 1 species